rnacentral:rRNA from 1 species
GACGAACGCUGGCGGCGUGCCUAAUACAUGCAAGUCGAGCGAAGCGGCGGAUGGGUGAGUAAGGCGUGGGUAACCUGACCUUAAGUCUGGGAUACCAUUUGGAAACAGAUGCUAAUACCGACUACUAAAGGAUGGACCUGCGAUGAAGUAGCUAGUGGAUAAGGUAACGGCUUACCAAGGCGAUGAUGCAUAGCCUGGUUGAGAGACGGAUCGGCCACAUUUGGACUGAGACACGGCCCAAACUCCUACGGUAGGCAGCAGUAGGGAAUCUUCCACAAUGGACGAAAGUCUGAUGGAGCAACGCCGCGUGAGUGAAGAAGGUUUUCGGAUCGUAAAGCUCUGUUGUUGGUGAAGCGGUAAUCAACCAGAAAGUCACGGCUAACUACGUGCCAGCAGCCGCGGUAAUAC